UACCCGCAGCACAAGUGGUGGUCAUUAUUAUUGGGUCUAAAGCGUCCGUAGCUGGCUUGUUAGAUGCCUGGGUAAAUCGAUGCGCUCAACGCAUCGAACUCCGGGUAGACCGGCAAGCUUGGGACCGGGAGAGGCGUGAGCUACUCGAGGGGUAGGGGUAAAAUCCUGUAAUCCUUCGGGGAGGGCCAGUGGCGAAGGCGUCACGCUAGAACGGCUCCGACAGUGAGGGACGAAGCCCUGGGGCGCAAACCGG
rnacentral:rRNA from 1 species